rnacentral:lncRNA from 10 species
GUAGGAGAAUGCUACUCUUGGGAUAUCUCUGCGGCCAGCAGACGGACUAAAGAGGGUGAGACCCGGAUGAAGAAGAAUCGCAUUUAAAGUUACGUGAAAUGACCGCACUAUUAGUGAACCGGGGAGCAGAACAAUGGUUAUUCUGGAAGUACAUCAGUACGUUCAGUUUAUGUCCAUGCUGCAGAUAUAAAGGAUGAAGUUGUAGGGCAGGAAGUCUUAUGUAACUUGGAGCAGCUACUCAAUGGAAAUCACAAACAGAAUGAGUUUCAUCCACAUGUCAAGACACUACUACCAACAGAGCUAUUUCAGGACACCUACCUAAAUAACUAGCUGUCUCUUCCACUUAAAGCAAGACAUGAGAUCUCACCAUUUUAUUGCCUAGGCUGGAGUGCAAUGUUGUGAUCCUAGCUCACUGCAGCCUUGAACUCCUGGGCUCAAGUGACCCUCUCUCCUCAGUCUCCUGAGUAGCUG